CACAAAAGGAAUGGAGUCAUUAGCACUUAUAGUUUGUAAAUGGCACCCAGAAUUAUGUUGCACGAAGCACAAUUUCAAAUCAUUCUGGGUCCAUUUGUGUGAAAACAAGGUCCAAUCAGGCUGAAACGUUACAAGAAGGUAGAAUCAAUUGACUUGUAAGUGAUCUGAACGUUUCAUGAUGAUCGCACAUUCCUAUAGGGGGUCAAACCAUGUCCCAAAGGUCACCGGGCCUGGUGUCACUUUAAAGAAGUAGUCCAGUUACACCUUUGUGGGCUUAUAACUGUUGUGAGCUGGGAGGUGAGCACUCCACAUACACCAUGACAUCACCUGGCUUGUGAGUUCUGUUUUCAGGAGAGAGAGCAGCAGCUGCAAUCGAUCAGCUGAUCAGUGGGUGGCCCUCAUAAGGAGGACGGAGGACACUGCUAAGCCGCCGGAUGAUUACGCCUACUGGCUCAGUCAUCUUUCCAUACACCACCUCCUCGCUGAGACCUUUUGGAUUUACUACUCGACCAUACUACGUCUGGACUUCACUCCCGGUUCCCGUCCUCCUCACGGCACUAACUGCUCCCAGCACUACAGGCUCUCUCUCUCCUUCCCUCCGGUUGUAAAACCUUGCCGAUCUUCAUCACCCCGGAAUACUCAGUCACUCUCCCAGCUCACCCCUCCCUGGAGAUCCUCCAUCACGCUACAUCUGUAAGUCCUCCUACCAAACUCAUCCUCUACCACACUACAGUUUCAAUCAAGGACUCACCUCUGUUUCCCUUCCCUCAGACGCUGCUCCCGUUUACCCAUUCACUGGAUUUCCAGUGCACCCUAAGUUCUAGUUACCAAAUAAAUCUUUAUUUUUUCA